GUCACAAGGGCUGUACAGUUCCUGGAGCUGGGCAGUCUUCUCAGAGUGGAGCCUGGUAACCGCGACCUCCCCGCCAGUUCCUGUGUGUUGCUGGCUGGAAAGGGGUAGUUGACAAACUCCCACCCAGCACAGUAUUUAUGUCGGUCAAAAAUGGAAAACUAUGUGUCCGGGCACGGCCCAGGAAGGAGGAUUCCUUCAGGCCAAGAGCAGCCUAGCAAUAUGGCGCAACCCCACCUCUGUAGUCCAACCUCAGCCUCCCAGCUACUUGAACCCCAAGAUUCAAGGCUCCAAUGAGCUGUGAUCUCACCACAGCACUCCUGCCUGCGAGACUGAGAGACCAAAGACCAACAAACUACCACAGCCACCAGUUCCGGAACCUGCCAAUGAUGGGCAACGGAAAGUGAGGGAGUUCAACUCUGUUUCGCUUUUGUUGUUCUGGCUGGAGUGCAAUGGCGCAAUCUCGGCUCACCGCAACCUCCGCCUCCUAGGUUCAAGCGAUUCUCCUGCCUCAACCUCCAGAGUAGCUAGGACUACAGGUGUGCACCACCACGCGC
rnacentral:lncRNA from 1 species